AUUGAACGCUGGCGGCAGGCCUAACACAUGCAAGUCGAACGAGUGGCGGACGGGUGAGUAAUGUCUGGGAAACUGCCCGAUGGAGGGGGAUAACUACUGGAAACGGUAGCUAAUACCGCAUACCAUCGGAUGUGUCCAGAUGGGAUUAGCUAGUAGGUGGGGUAACGGCUCACUUAGGCGACGAUCCCUAGCUGGUCUGAGAGGAGGACCAGCCAAACUGGAACUGGGACACGGUCCGGAGUCCUACGGGAGGAAGCAGUGGGGAAUAUUGCACAAGGGGCGAGAGCCUGAUGCGGCCAUGCCGCUUGGAUGAAGAAGGCCUUGGGGUGGUAAGGUACUUUCAGCGAGGAGGCGUUACUCGCAGAAGAAGCACCGGCUAACUCCGUGCCAGCAGCCGCGGUAAUUC
rnacentral:rRNA from 1 species